AAAAGCCUGUGGUGGGGGAAGGGAGUGAAGGCGUGUGCCUCCUCAUGGAACACAGGGUCGGAGUCGGCUAGGAGGGAUAAGAGUACAAUAGAGGGUUGUGUGACACAGACAGGCUGCCAGCCCUCAGCAUGGACCCGGCACAUGGAAUCUGUGAUCUUAAAAGAGUCAAGUGACUACCUUUGGCAACCAAAAGAGACACUGCCUUUUAGAAGGCAUAUCAUCUGAAACUGGCUGAAAGAGCUGUCUUACUUAGGAAGAAAAAUCUCUCCUUUGGAAAGAGCUGGAACUUUUAGUAAAACUGAACAGUGAGGUGGCGGAAGAUAAAUAUGCUGAGGCAUGUUUUCAAGGAGGGGAGAGAGAUUCCUUUUCCUCAGCCGGGCACAGAGCCAACCUGAAGUGUAGCACUGUGGUGACCUGGCGGGAUCUGCUCUCCAGUCACUCCCGAGGGCCCUUCUGGGGACAAGGAGACUUUUCUGUGCGGCCUGUUGAUUUGAUAGAGAUGAUGUCUUGCCACAUUGCCCAGGCUGGUCUCAAACUCCAGGCCUAAAGGGAUCU
rnacentral:lncRNA from 10 species